rnacentral:rRNA from 1 species
UUAAAGGGCUGCAGUAUAUUGACUGUACAAAGGUAGCAUAAUCAUUAGUCAUUUAAUUGAUGACUUGUAUGAAGGAUUGGAUGAAAUAUAAACUGUCUCUUAAUUAUAUUUAGAAUUUAAUUUUUUAAUUAAAAAGUUAAAAUAAAUUAGAAAGACGAGAAGACCCUAUAGAGUUUUAUAAAUAAAAUUAAUUGAGAUUAUUUGUAAAGAUUAAAUUAAGAUUAAUUUAUUUAUUUUGUUGGGGUGACAGAAAAAUAUGAAAAACUUUUUAUAUGUUUAAAACAUUAAUAAGUGGUUAAAUGAUCCAGUAUUAUUGAUUAUAAGAAAAAAUUACCUUAGGGAUAACAGCGUAAUUUUUUUUUUUAGUUCACAUAAAAAAAAAAGUUUGCGACCUCGAUGUUGGAUUAAGAUAAAAUUUAAAUGCAGAAG